rnacentral:rRNA from 1 species
GAUGAACGCUGACAGAAUGCUUAACACAUGCAAGUCAACUUGAAUUUGGGUUUUUAACUUAGGUUUGGGUGGCGGACGGGUGAGUAACGCGUAAAGAACUUGCCUCACAGCUAGGGACAACAUUUGGAAACGAAUGCUAAUACCUAAUAUUAUGAUAAUAGGGCAUCCUAUAAUUAUGAAAGCUAUAAGCGCUGUGAGAGAGCUUUGCGUCCCAUUAGCUAGUUGGAGAGGUAACGGCUCACCAAGGCGAUGAUGGGUAGCCGGCCUGAGAGGGUGAUCGGCAACAAGGGGACUGAGACACGGCCCUUACUCCUACGGGAGGCAGCAGUGGGGAAUAUUGGACAAUGGACCGAGAGUCUGAUCCAGCAAUUCUGUGUGCACGAUGAAGUUUUUCGGAAUGUAAAGUGCUUUCAGUUGGGAAGAAACAAAUGACGGUACCAACAGGAGAAGUGACGGCUAAAUACGUG